CGUACUGUGAAGCAUCCUGUUAAGUCAGGCAACGAGCGAGACCCACGCCCACAGUUGCCAGCGUACUCUCUGGAGUGACGGGUACACUGUGGGGACCGCCGCUGCUAAAGCGAGGAAGGAAUGGGCAACGGUAGGUCAGUAUGCCCCGAAUAUCCCGGGCUACACGCGAGCUACGAUGGUUGGUACAAUGGGGUAUCUACCCCGAAAGGGGACGGGAAUCUCCUAAACCAAUCUUAGUUCGGAUUGAGGGCUGCAACUCGCCCUCAUGAAGCUGGAAUCCGUAGUAAUCGCGUUUCAACAGAACGCGGUGAAUACGUCCCUGCUCCUU
rnacentral:rRNA from 1 species